CAAGGAGAUGCUUUCGUCAUUCGGUGCUGCACAAAUUUCGACCGGGCCGUGGCAAAUUUGACCAACAUCCUGGAUAUUCAAGUUUGGUCAAAAUCGAAGUAGGCUCUUCACCAAGGCGGACAACCCGAUCGAAGACUGUCCGAGGGAUUGGUCGAUUCUUACCGCAAAAAGUAUUCGUCGUCGAAGCCCAGUGGUUCUGCUCUGACUCCUGGUCACGACUAAACUUGAGGAACCUCGCCAAUCAACUUCCGUUUGUGUCGUUUGCGGCGAAAGGAGAAAAAAGAACAACUAACGAAAACAUCAGGAUUCCACGCGAUGAAAUUGAACGGAUCGGAUUUGGUGAUGAUCGCGAGAGCAAUCGUACUGGAACUGAACGUUGAUUGGGGAUUGGUAUUGUUGCGGAGAUGACUUCUGCGGUGUUGCUUCGGUGAUCCGUUGAAGUGCUACAACGACAACUGUAUCCCGAAGAUUCUUCAUCCGACGAAGAUGAUAGCUUGAAGCGAUAAAGAUAACCGGUACCAGUGCAACGACCGCAAGGAGACUGAGUUUAUCUGCAAGAAGAACAUGCCAUAGGCGCGAAGAAGUGCAUUUCCGAUGGAGAUCCGGAUUGCGUUGAUGCGGCGGACAAGUAAUGAUCAAUUUGCGUCCGUUAAUGAAAGGUGUUAGUCAGGGUUCUUCCGAAUCGUGGUUGAUCUUCAGUAGUACUUCUAGUGAAAUGCAACUCAUCCUGCACACGCUCCUGAACCUAUGCUGAGUUUCUCCCGUCGAUUUUCAACUUGAUGUCGUAAAGUCCAAGAUGGAUAAAAUAAUACUCAGACCAGCCUUUGCCAGAAUACUUAGGCCUGCUGAGGAUGUUUUGUCAGUACAGUACCCCUUUUACGCGUCAACUGGCCUGUCACUAGAACCUGCAGAACAUCACACCCCAUCCAACGCGGUGUUCCGAUUGAUGGCCAUGUUUGCGCAGCGUCAUGCGGACGCGACGAAAGUCGAACAGCACAAGGUGGACAUCAACCGGCGACCCACUCUGAAGCGUACUUUGACGGGUAACCUGCUACAACAUCCGACAUCCUACCUGCAUAGCAAUAGCGCUCAA